UAGGGAAUAUUGGGCAAUGGAGGGAACUCUGACCCAGCCAUGCCGCGUGCAGGAUGAAGGCGUUAUGCGUUGUAAACUGCUUUUAUAUAGGAAGAAAUAGUCCUUGCGAGGAAAGUUGACGGUACUAUAUGAAUAAGCACCGGCUAACUCCGUGCCAGCAGCCGCGGUAAUACGGAGGGUGCAAGCGUUGUCCGGAUUUAUUGGGUUUAAAGGGUGCGUAGGCGGUUUAUUAAGUCAGUGGUGAAAGACGGUCGCUCAACGAUUGCAGUGCCAUUGAUACUGGUAGACUUGAGUAUGAUUGAGGUAGCUGGAAUGGAUAGUGUAGCGGUGAAAUGCAUAGAUAUUAUCCAGAACACCAAUUGCGUAGGCAAGUUACUAAGUCAUAACUGACGCUGAGGCACGAAAGUGUGGGUAUCAAACAGGAUUAGAUACCCCGGUAGUCCCUGAGCGGGCUGGCAAGGCGCAU
rnacentral:rRNA from 1 species